GUUGAAACACUGGUUCCCGUACGGUAUCUGAAGUUAAGCAACGUCGGGCCUGGUUAGUAGCUAGAUGAGUAACAGCUUUGGACUACCAGGUACUGUAAG